GUAGUCACUUCAGCAGCACAUAUACUAAAAUUGGAAUGAUACAGAGAAUAUAAGCAUGUUUCCUGCGCAAGGAUGACAUGCAAGUUUGCCGAAGCUUUCUAUAUUUUA